rnacentral:rRNA from 1 species
AUGGCGCAACCACCCGAGCUAGCUCUCCCUCUCCUCCCGAUCUCAGCCGCCAUGAGGCGACCGACCCCAGCGACGCUCGAUCCGGUGCUACACUGGCCGCCGGUCAACGCCAGCGAGGAUUUGCGGCCAGAGCGCCGCACGGGAGGCCUUUGUCGAGCGAAGCCCUGGAUCACGGUGUUCCUGCGGAGGGACAGGGCGGCGGAUUCGAGGAUGGGCGCGGCAGGCGGAGCUCUGUCCUCCUUUGUCCUCUCCCAUCGAGCGCUGGAUCGAAGAAGCAUCUGCUCCCCCCACCUCCAUCCCGUCUCCUCUCCUACAUCGGCCACACCACGCCGCGCUCAUGGAGCGGAGUCACAGAAGCACGACGCUGACUGCGGUGGAGUGAGGAGAGCUCGUCCGGUCGUCUUGUCCCUCCAAGGCAGGAUCAGGCCCAACCUCCACGCCACCAGCUCCACCCCAUAUCUCUUGCCUUUCCGGUUAGUUUCAGGUCCGCUUAAAAGUUUCAGGUUAGCUCAUCUAAAAAGCAGUUUCAGGUUCCAUGUUUCUGACAAAACAAUGGCUGAUUUGCUAGCUGUAGAGCGCAAGCUAAGUGAUACAGGCUCUGCUUUGAAAACCAACGGGUCUUUUCUUUUGCAAGCUUUUGCUAUAGUUGAAUUACUCAAUAUCUGGUUCAAUGGUGCCUUCAGCAAAGUCACCGAGGCUGGUCAUGUUGUCGGCUCAAGAACAACAGAAAAGUUCCAGAUAGUUGUGUCAAAUAUAUCAGCCAAAUGCACACAUGAUUCUCAAGUUUGGGAGCUAACCAAUCAUAGUUCUAGCGUUAGCUUUUGGCAACAUAAGUGGCAUUUCGGAAGGGACCUGCUGUCGUUGCUUGAGCUUGUUGAGUUUGUUCUGGGAGCUCCUCUUCCUGGGGAAAAUCUGUUGGAAACCUUGAGAAAGCAUCUAAUGUUGGCUGUGUCAUCAAGCUUUGGCUUGUAA